GCCAGGACAACACAUGUGAGGAGUACCACACAGUGGGGCCCCACUCCUGCCACAUCCCCAAGGACCUGGCUCUCUUUACGCCCUAUGAGAUCUGGGUGGAGGCCACCAACCGCCUGGGCUCUGCCCGCUCCGAUGUACUCACGCUGGAUAUCCUGGAUGUGGUGACCACGGACCCCCCGCCCGACGUGCACGUGAGCCGCGUCGGGGGCCUGGAGGACCAGCUGAGCGUGCGCUGGGUGUCGCCACCCGCCCUCAAGGAUUUCCUCUUUCAAGCCAAAUACCAGAUCCGCUACCGAGUGGAGGACAGUGUGGACUGGAAGGUGGUGGACGAUGUGAGCAACCAGACCUCCUGCCGCCUGGCCGGCCUGAAACCCGGCACCGUGUACUUCGUGCAAGUGCGCUGCAACCCCUUUGGCAUCUAUGGCUCCAAGAAAGCCGGGAUCUGGAAGCGCCCGGGCCCGGGCGGCGGGGCGUGCGAACCGCGGGGCGGAGAGCCGAGCUCGGGGCCGGUGCGGCGCGA
rnacentral:lncRNA from 1 species